rnacentral:rRNA from 1 species
GGGUUGUGAGGUUAAGCGACUAAGCGUACACGGUGGAUGCCCUGGCAGUCAGAGGCGAUGAAGGGCGUGCUAAUCUGCGAUAAGCGCCGGUAAGGUGAUAUGAACCGUUAUAACCGGCGAUACCCGAAUGGGGAAACCCAGUGUGAUUCGUCACACUAUCAUUAACUGAAUCCAUAGGUUAAUGAGGCGAACCGGGGGAACUGAAACAUCUAAGUACCCCGAGGAAAAGAAAUCAACCGAGAUUCCCCCAGUAGCGGCGAGCGAACGGGGAGGAGCCCAGAGCCUGAAUCAGCAUGUGUGUUAGUGGAAGCGUCUGGAAAGGCGCGCGAUACAGGGUGACAGCCCCGUACACAAAAGCGCAUGUGCUGUGAGCUCGAUGAGUAGGGCGGGACACGUGGUAUCCUGUCUGAAUAUGGGGGGACCAUCCUCCAAGGCUAAAUACUCCUGACUGACCGAUAGUGAACCAGUACCGUGAGGGAAAGGCGAAAAGAACCCCGGCGAGGGGAGUGAAAAAGAACCUGAAACCGUGUACGUACAAGCAGUGGGAGCCCCACCACUAAGCCAGUGGUGAACUCCACAUACGCAUCCUUUGCUGAGGAUACGGUUAACGGAGCGAAAGCGACGUUCAACCUCAAAAGAAGCAGAGGGGGCUUAGUGGUGGGGUGACUGCGUACCUUUUGUAUAAUGGGUCAGCGACUUAUAUUCUGUAGCAAGGUUAACCGAAUAGGGGAGCCGGAGGGAAACCGAGUCUUAACUGGGCGUUAAGUUGCAGGGUAUAGACCCGAAACCCGGUGAUCUAGCCAUGGGCAGGUUGAAGGUUGGGUAACACUAACUGGAGGACCGAACCGACUAAUGUUGAAAAAUUAGCGGAUGACCUGUGGCUGGGGGUGAAAGGCCAAUCAAACCGGGAGAUAGCUGGUUCUCCCCGAAAGCUAUUUAGGUAGCGCCUCGUGAACUCAUCUCCGGGGGUAGAGCACUGUUUCGGCUAGGGGGCCAUCCCGGCUUACCAACCCGAUGCAAACUGCGAAUACCGGAGAAUGUUAUCACGGGAGACACACGGCGGGUGCUAACGUCCGUCGUGAAGAGGGAAACAACCCAGACCGCCAGCUAAGGUCCCAAAGUCAUGGUUAAGUGGGAAACGAUGUGGGAAGGCCCAGACAGCCAGGAUGUUGGCUUAGAAGCAGCCAUCAUUUAAAGAAAGCGUAAUAGCUCACUGGUCGAGUCGGCCUGCGCGGAAGAUGUAACGGGGCUAAACCAUGCACCGAAGCUGCGGCAGCGAACGUAUCACCCAAGACAACUUUACGGAGUUGACGAUUGACGGAGCGAAGCGACGUCAAAGCGUUCAUUAAAGUCGAGUUGGCUUAGGGAUACGUUCGUUGGGUAGGGGAGCGUUCUGUAAGCCUGUGAAGGUGGCCUGUGAGGGUUGCUGGAGGUAUCAGAAGUGCGAAUGCUGACAUAAGUAACGAUAAAGCGGGUGAAAAGCCCGCUCGCCGGAAGACCAAGGGUUCCUGUCCAACGUUAAUCGGGGCAGG